rnacentral:rRNA from 1 species
UACGAAGGGUACAAGCGUUGUUCGGAAUUACUGGGCGUAAAGCGCGCGUAGGCGGACGCGUAAGUCGAUUGUGAAAUCCCUGGGCUUAACCUGGGAACUGCAGUCGAUACUGCGUGUCUUGAGUGCCUGAGAGGAUGGCGGAAUUCCCGGUGUAGUAGUGAAAUACGUAGAUAUCGGGAAGAACACCUGAGGCGAAGGCGGCUAUCUGGCGGUGCACUGACGCUGAGGCGCGAAAGCGUGGGGAGCAAACAGG